GAGGGUAUAGCUCAGUGGUAGAGCACCUGCUUAGCAUGCAUGAGGUCCUGGGUUCAAUCCCUAGUACCUCCA
rnacentral:tRNA from 1 species